rnacentral:misc_RNA from 1 species
UCAGUGUGAGAAAAUUGUGCCCAAA